UGCUCACUUUGGUAGACAAUAUACAAAAAUUGAAAUGAUACAGAGAAGAUUAACAUGGCCCCAGUACAAAGAUGACAUUCAAGUUAAUGCAGAGGUCUAUGAAUUU
ensembl:snRNA U6 U6 spliceosomal RNA